GCCCGCCAUGGGGGCCCGCGGGAAUUGAUUAGAGUUUGAUCAUGUUUCAGGAUUGAACCCUGGGGGCACCCUUUAAAAAAUUCAAUUCGAAUGGCAGCCACGGGGACCAAUCCUGUGGGGAGUGGCGAACGGGUGAGUAAUAUAUGGGAACGUGCCCAGUAGUGGGGGAUACCCCGGCGAAACCCGGAUUAAUACCGUCAUACGACCUGUGGGUGAAAGCGGGGGGAUCCCAAGACCUCGCGUUAUUGGAGCGGCCGAUAUCAGAUUAGCUUGUUGGUGGGGUAAAAGCCCACCAAGGGGACGAUCUGUAGCUGUUUUGAGAGGAGGACCAGCCACACUGGGAAUUGAGACACGGCCCAGAUUCUUACCGGGAGGCAGCAG
rnacentral:rRNA from 1 species